rnacentral:rRNA from 1 species
GACGAACGCUGGCGGCGUGCUUAACACAUGCAAGUCGAACGGAAAGGCCCUGCUUUUGUGGGGUGCUCGAGUGGCGAACGGGUGAGUAACACGUGAGUAACCUGCCCUUGACUUUGGGAUAACUUCAGGAAACUGGGGCUAAUACCGGAUAGGAGCUCCUGCUGCAUGGUGGGGGUUGGAAAGUUUCGGCGGUUGGGGAUGGACUCGCGGCUUAUCAGCUUGUUGGUGGGGUAGUGGCUUACCAAGGCUUUGACGGGUAGCCGGCCUGAGGGUGACCGGCCACAUGGGGACUGAGAUACGGCCCAGACUCCUACGGGAGGCAGCAGUGGGGAAUAUUGCACAAUGGGCGGAAGCCUGAUGCAGCAACGCCGCGUGCGGGAUGACGGCCUUCGGGGUGUAAACCGCUUUCGCCUGUGACGAAGCGUGAGUGACGGUAAUGGGUAAAGAAGCACCGGCUAACUACGUG